rnacentral:rRNA from 1 species
GACGAACGCUGGCGGCGUGCUUAACACAUGCAAGUCGAACGGAAAGGCCCUGCUUUUGUGGGGUGCUCGAGUGGCGAACGGGUGAGUAACACGUGAGUAACCUGCCCUUGACUUUGGGAUAACUUCAGGAAACUGGGGCUAAUACCGGAUAGGAGCUCCUGCUGCAUGGUGGGGGUUGGAAAGUUUCGGCGGUUGGGGAUGGACUCGCGGCUUAUCAGCUUGUUGGUGGGGUAGUGGCUUACCAAGGCUUUGACGGGUAGCCGGCCUGAGAGGGUGACCGGCCACGUUGGGCCUGAGAUACGGCCCAGACUCCUACGGGAGGCAGCAGUGGGGAAUAUUGCACAAUGGGCGGGAGCCUGAUGCAGCAACGCCGCGUGCGGGAUGACGGCCUUCGGGUUGUAAACCGCUUUCGCCUGUGACGAAGCGUGAGUGACGGUAAUGGGUAAAGAAGCACCGGCUAACUACGUG